UUGAUAGCUUGGCAGACUGAAGUCUUCUGCUUAUUCACAGAAUAAACACAGUAUGUGCAGCAGCAAUGCAAGCUUCCCCACACCAUUCUGCCAAUGUGCCUCAACCCUGAUCCGGAGGGACCAUCUCUAGGGCUGAGAGGGUAGUUCAUUCCACACGCUGCUUUUAUCUUUGGCAAUC
rnacentral:sRNA from 1 species